UACGGAGGGUGCAAGCGUUGUUCGGAAUUAUUGGGCGUAAAGAGCACGUAGGCGGAUUUGUAUGUCGAUUGUGAAAGCCCAGGGCUCAACCUUGGAAUUGCAGUCGAAACUGCGGAUCUGAAUACUUGAGAGGGUGGGGGAAUUCCUGGUGGAGAAGUGAAAUUCGUAGAGAUCAGGAGGAACAUCGGAGGCGAAGGCGCCUGCCUGGCAAUGUAUUGACGCUGGAGGUGCGAAAGCGUGGGGAGCAAACAGG
rnacentral:rRNA from 1 species